GGCCUGGUACACACGAAGCCCUGGUUUGAUCUCCAGCUCAGCAAAAAAAUAAAAACUUAAGCUAAAGUGUGGAUGAGGAGUUUCUUCCACUCAUCCUCUUUCCUCAUGCGUAUUUAUAUCUUUCCCAACACUGCCAGGUGCUCCAUUAAGGCAAUUGAGGCUGCCCUGGGUGCCCGCCAGUGGAAGAAGGCAAUUUAUAUCUUAGAUCUACAGGACCGGAACACUGCAUCCAAAUACUAUCUUCGAAUGGCCCAACACUAUGCGUCUCUACAGGAGUAUGAGAUUGCCGAGGAGCUCUACGUUAAGGGAGACCGGAUCAAAGAUGCUAUAGACAUGUACACCCAGGCUGGCCACUGGGAGCAAGCGCACAAGCUAGUGAUGAAAUGCAUGUGA
rnacentral:lncRNA from 1 species